UCGACUGCAUUUUUUUAUUGC
ensembl:piRNA 21ur-7916 ncRNA